rnacentral:sRNA from 1 species
GCUAUGCAAAGACAGCAGGAGCCGUGCCUCAAAAAGGCUGAGAGGUCUGAGAAAUAAAUUUGUAUGCGGAUUUACGCCUGGGCAGGUUGAAAUGCGUGUGCCAUGACAGUUCCGGAAGCUUGUCUACUCGAAGGUCCACAUUCAGCACCUACCGGGAAAGCGAGAAGAAAGCAAAGGGCAUCACUCCCCACCCACGAAAGACUCACAACAUCCCUGGAAAAGCAAACGAGGCGAACGGCUGGUCUGCGUUCAGAGCUGGUGAGGAGCAGGUAGAAGAAUCCAGAGCAUCCCCGCCUCCCUCCCUCGCCGCCCUCCUGCACUGAUGCGAACACGGGAGGAACAGCGCGCGUGGGGAAGCCGCAGACUCCCAGAGCCCGGCCCGCUGCAGCAGAAUCACCCAAGACUGAGAUCCUGCGGCCUGAGUUGGGGCCGGGGAAACCAAGCCUGCAGGACUGCGGGAGCAGCUGGUUUCUGCACACAGGUAACAUGGAACUGGGGGUAAGCAAAGCCACGAGGUCGGCCC